rnacentral:rRNA from 1 species
UAGGGAAUCUUCCGCAAUGGACGCAAGUCUGACGGAGCAACGCCGCGUGAGUGAAGAAGGAUUUCGGUUCGUAAAACUCUGUUGUUAGAGAAGAACAGCGCAUAGAGUAACUGUUAUGCGUGUGACGGUAUCUAACCAGAAAGCCACGGCUAACUACGUGCCAGCAGCCGCGGUAAUACGUAGGUGGCAAGCGUUGUCCGGAUUUAUUGGGCGUAAAGCGAGCGCAGGCGGUCAAUUAAGUCUGAUGUGAAAGCCCCCGGCUCAACCGGGGAGGGUCAUUGGAAACUGGUUGACUUGAGUGCAGAAGAGGAGAGUGGAAUUCCAUGUGUAGCGGUGAAAUGCGUAGAUAUAUGGAGGCACACCAGUGGCGAAGGCGACUCUCUGGUCUGUAACUGACGCUGAGGCUCGAAAGCGUGGGUAGCAAACAGG